rnacentral:lncRNA from 1 species
CUGUUUUGAAGAUACAAACUUUCUUCCAAGACUCCAACUUGAAGAAAAUCACGUGCUCCGCUUCUCCAAAUCAAGCGUAGACGUUCAACAAACUUCAAGAACAUCACGUGCUCCGCUUCCUCAAAUCAAGCGUAAGCAUUCAACCAACUUGAAGAACAUCACGUGCUCCGCUUCUCCAAAUCAAGCGUAGACGUUCAACAAACUUCAAGAACAUCACGUGCUCCGCUUCUCCAAAUCAAGCGUAGACGUUCAACAAACUUCAAGAACAUCACGUGCUCCGCUUCCUCCAAAUCAAGCGUAGACAUACAGUUGAGAGAGAAUCAGAGGAUCAAAUUCUAGAGAUUGAACCGCAUCGCAUCAAAUCAACAAAAAUACAACAUCAACCAAGUUCAAGUCCACGAAUUAAAUUUCUCCGGAAAUCUCGUGCGAACAAAUUGGCACGCCCAGUGGGACCAUCUCUACCUCUCAUCUCUCUCUCAUCAUCUAGAUCUACAAGCAAAUCAAUGGCAUCAAAGAAAGCUGCAUCCAAAUCUUCAGCUGCAAGCGACACCUACACGGGACCUAUCACCCGUAGUCGUUCCAAGGGGAUCAUCCAAGGGCAAGACCAAGGUUCCGCCAUCGCGCAGAGCAUCCUGAAGCAAUUGAUGGAAUCUCCUAAAGCUGGAAUUGUCAUCAAGGAAAAUCCUCUAUAUAAUGAUUAUGAUUCUGCCUCUAGCAGGUCACUGAAAGAAGCACACCCAGAUGUGAUGUCCGUCAUGAUGGCUGAUGUAGCAGUCGAGACUGCCAUGGCGGAGAUGGAGAGAAAAAUUAAUCUCCUGAUGAAGGUUGUUGAUGAACGAGACCACGAAAUUGCAGCUUUAAAGGAGCAGAUGCAGACUCGUGAAACUGCUGAAUCGAGUCAAACUCCUGUCGUUAAAGUUGAUGACAAAGGGAAGAACGUGGUACAAGAAAAUCAGCCACAACAACAAUCAACUUCUGUGGCUUCUCUCUCGGUUCAACAAUUACAAGAUAUGAUCACAAGCUCCAUCAGAGCACAAUAUGGAGGCCCAUCUCAGACUUCUUUCAUGUACUCUAAACCAUACACCAAAAGAAUCGACAACUUGAGAAUGCCGCUUGGAUAUCAGCCUCCAAAAUUCCAGCAGUUUGACGGAAAGGGCAAUCCAAAACAGCACGUUGCUCACUUCGUCGAAACAUGUGAGAAUGCAGGAUCAAGAGAGAUCAACUAGUCAGACAAUUUGUUCGAAGCUUGAAAGGAAAUGCUUUUGAAUGUAUACUGAUCUGGACCAGAAAAGCAUUGAGAGUUGGGAACAACUAGAAAAGGAGUUUCUCAAUCGCUUCUACAGCACCAGGCGUACUGUAAGCAUGAUGGAGCUUACAAAUACGAAACAAAGAAAGGGAGAACCAGUCAUCGACUACAUCAAUAGAUGGAGAGCUCUAAGUCUUGACUGUAAAGAUCGGCUCACCGAACUGUCGGCUGUAGAAAUGUGCACCCAAGGCAUGCACUGGGGACUCCUCUACAUUUUGCAGGGAAUAAAGCCCGCACAUUUGAAGAACUGGCAACUCGAGCUCAUGAUAUGGAGUUGAGCAUCGCCAGUAGAGGAACUAAAGAUUUUCUUGUUCCUGAAGUAAAGAAAGAUAAGAAAGAGAUGAAAGGUGCUGAAAAGAUAGUGAAAAGCACCGCGAAAGAAUCUAUGGUCGUAAACACAACCCCGCUGAAAUUCUCCAAAGGAAAGGAAGCGAGGGUUGAAAAGAAGGAUGAUGGAAGCGAAAGGCGACGUCUGACUUUAAAAGAAAGGCAGGAAAAAGUUUACCCAUUUCCUGAUUCAGAUAUCGCUGACAUGCUAGAGCAACUACUAGAGAAGCAGCUGAUCCAGCUGCCAGAAUGUAAACGACCUGAGCAAGCAGGAAAGGUAGAUGAUCCCAAUUACUGCAAGUAUCAUCGGGUCAUCAGUCAUCCAGUAGAGAAAUGCUUCGUGCUGAAGGAGCUAAUUCUAAGGUUGGCUCGUGAGAAAAGGAUUGAGCUAGAUUUGGAGGAAGUAGCUCAAACAAACCACGCUGAAGUGACGAUAAUGUCUGAGGCUUCUUCGUCGAGAUUGAUUUUUGAGCAAAGGAAAAGCUUGGUCCAGUUCGGGACCUUUGAGCCUAUAGUUGUCCAAUUCUUUCAGGAAAUCUCAUACGAGGAUCCUCAAGGAGAGAAAAGACCAAUAAGAAGACGAUGAAGGGUGGAUAGUGGUGACCCAAAAAAAGACAGUCGAUCCCGACCCAAAGAGAGUCUCGCUCUUACCAAAACUAUAGAAGAGGAAAUAAGACUCAAAAGAAUAAGAAAAAGAAGAAGACUCAUAAGCUUAAGCUCGUACAUAAUGAAGACAUGAAUUUCUCUCGACCUCAACGCUUAGUGACCUUGGCAGACUUUGUGAUCAUCAGGAUGAAGACCCAGAAGUCGUUGCGUGUCAUGCUAUCAACACAACGGAGGAAGAAAUAAUCCCUCCAAGAUCACUAGAAGGAGAGGGAGUAUCAAAAGACCUUUCAAGGUUUAAUGUAGAGGAUCUAUUAUCACUUCCUCAAGAGACCAAAACCAUCCUUAUUGAUGCAUUGCUAAAUUCAAGAGCAUCAAGUUCGAGUACUCCGACUAUGACAUAUGAGAGUGGUUCUUAUUGUAUGUCUAUAGACUUCUCAGAUGAGGAUUUGUUGUUGGGAUCUAAACUUCAUAAUAGACCUUUGUAUGUUUCUGGAUACGUUCGAGAACAGAGAGUCGAUCGAAUCCUCAUUGAUAAUGGCUCAGCUGUCAACAUAAUGCCAAAGUCGACUAUGUGGCAAUUAGGCAUCUUGAUGGACGAGCUCUCAAAUAGCAAGCUAGUAAUUCAAGGUUUUAACCAAGGUAGCCAAAGAGCAAUAGGCAUGAUACGGUUAGAACUCAAAGGCCAGUGCAUUGUUUCAUGUCAUAGACUCAAGGACUACUUACAAGUUGUUACUAGGGCGUCCUUGGAUUCAUGGAAACGGAGUAGUAACUUCAACACUGCAUCAGUGCUUCAAAUUUUAUCAGGACGGUGUAAAGAAGGUUGAAGCCGACUCUAAUCCAUUCUCAGAAGCUGAGUCUCACUUCGCAGAUGCAAAGUUUUAUUCAAAGAAUAAUAAUAUUUUAGAAGUUUUGCCUGCAGAAACCCCUCUUACAAAAGGAGAAGAUAAUUCACAAUGAAAUCACUCGCAACCACAGAACCACAUGAAAGUGCGAGAACCUUUAACUCUGGAAAGGGUGAAGCAUACACUAGCAGCACAAAGGGUAUGAUCUUGAAGGAGAAAAUGCUGCAAACACACCAGUUUUGCGUUAUGUCCCUCUGUCAAGGCGCAAGAAAGGCGAAUCACCAUUCAUGGAGUCUCCAAAAGGUUUGAAAGUUGGUGACAUCGAAAUCAUAAAAGAAAGCUUCACUACACCACUAACUAAGAUAGCGAAGCAAGAGGUAAAGGUAGAUCUGGUGGAAGCAAACUUGCCCCAAAGGCGAACGAAAGACGGAUUCGACCCCAAGGCUUACAAAUUGAUGGCGAAAGCAGGUUAUGACUUCACAGCUCACACCGAGUUUAAAAGCUUGGAAAUUCAUGACCGACCUGAGCUCUCCUCAACUCAAAAGAAGCUUCUACGGGAAGGACAUUCUAUACCCGUGUCGAGAAAAGGACUCGGAUACAAGUCGCCAGAACCGAUCCGUAUAACUAAAAAGGGGAAGGAAAAAGUGGUUGACAUCAAUCAUAUAACUAUAGAGGAGGAUGACAAUACUGACGUAAAAGAAGGUGAUAAUCAGAGAAUCUCAGUAUUUGAUCGAAUUAGACCAUCUGUUGCACGUCCCGUAGUAUUUGAAAGGCUAAGCAUGACAGAGGCAGAAAGAGAAAGGCUCCAGUCAGUACCAAACCUUGAGAGACAUUCGGUCUUUCGAAGGCUAACUACGACUCCCAUAAAGGAAGAAAGCACAUGCCAUGCCUUGACAACUACAAGACCAUCAGCCUUUGAAAGGCUAGGUGUGUCUAAAAAGAAAAAUGUACAAGCACCCCGUGCUCCGAUUUUUAAUCAUCUCGGGAUAAAGGAUCACACGACAACAUUGAUUCCAACAUAGAUACAAAGAAGAAGGAACCAAUGUCUCGUGUGAAAGUUUGGCGUCGAAUUAAGCAUACAGAUGUCGAUAAUUAUCGUAGUAAGAAGUUUCCUUGCGAGACAAAGGAAAAUGGAGAAAUUCAUAGCAACGUUCCUUCUCGCAUGAAAAGAAAAACUUUUGUUACUCUCAAUACAAGUCAAGGUUCGUUAAAGGUAAAAAGACAUGAUGUUAUACUAACGAAUCCUGAAAAAGAAGGGUCGGAACAAGGGGAAGUGAAACUUCAUGUCAUCACAUCACCAUUAUUGAGGAAUCAGAGACUGGAACUCAUGAAGAAGACGCAGAAAAUGCCCCACAAAGUUUAGAGGAUGGUGGCCAAUCUACUGUAGACGAGCUAAAAGAGGUGAACCUUGGUACAAUAGAGGAACCACGUCCGACUUUCAUUAGUGCGUCCCUCUCUAACGAAGAGGUGGAUAAAUAUAUGAGUUUGCUCACCGAAUACAGGGACAUCUUUGCGUGGUCGUACAAGGAGAUGCCAGGACUUGACCCAAAAGUAGCAGUCCAUCAUCUUGCAAUUAAACCGGAUAUCGACCGAUUAAACAAGCACAACGACGUUUUCGACCGGAGCUUAUCCCUCAAAUCGAGGUGGAAGUCAACAAGUUGAUCGAAGCAGGAUUCAUUCGCGAGGUCAAAUAUCCAACGUGGAUAGCAAACAUUGUCCCUGUUAGAAAAAAAAAUGGACAACUUCGCGUUUGUGUAGACUUUCGCGAUCUGAAUAAUGCAUGCCCUAAAGAUGAUUUUCCCUUGCCCAUCACCGAAAUCAUGGUUGAUGCAACUACUGGACACGAGGCGUUGUCGUUUAUGGAUGGGUCGUCUGGAUAUAAUCAAAUACGGAUGGCCCUCUCAGAUGAAGAAAUGACAGCUUUCAGAACUCCAAAGGGAAUAUACUGUUACAAGGUGAUGCCCUUUGGAUUGAAAAAUGCCGGCGCUACUUAUCAACGUGCCAUGCAGAAAGUGUUUGAUGAUAUGUUGCACAGGUAUGUUGAAUGUUAUGUUGAUGAUCUUGUAGUCAAAACAAAGAGACGACAAGACCAUUUGAAGGAUCUAAAAGUCGUGUUUGAUCGCUUGCGAAAAUAUCAGCUAAGGAUGAACCCUCUCAAGUGUGCGUUUGGUGUAACUUCAGGAAAAUUUCUUGGCUUCAUUGUAAGGCAUCGAGGGAUCGAAAUAGACCAGUCCAAGAUUGAUGCCAUUCAGAAGAUGUCAAGACCUAAAAGUUUGCAUGACCUAAGAAGUCUCCAAGGACGACUGGCUUACAUCCGAAGGUUCAUCUCUAACUUGGCCGGUCGGUGUCAACCUUUUCAAAAGUUGAUGAGAAAAGGAGAAAAUUUUGUGUGGGAUGAAGCUUGUCAGAACGCUUUUGAUAGCAUAAAGAAAUACUUGCUUACUCCCCCAGUGCUGGGAGCUCCAGUACCUGACAAACCACUAAUAUUGUACAUUGCUGCACAAGAAAGGUCCUUAGGAGCAUUACUGGCACAAGAAGAGGUAAAGGGAAAGGAGCGUUCUCUCUACUAUCUAAGCAGAACAUUAAUUGGGGCUGAAGUUAACUAUUCUCCUAUCGAAAAGAUGUGUCUUGCACUUUUCUUUGCCAUUGAUAAGUUGAGGCAUUAUAUGCAGGCCUUCACGGUUCAUCUAGUGGCAAAAGCAGACCCUAUAAAGUAUGUUCUAUCCAGGCCAAUCAUCGCUGGACGCUUAGCCAAAUGGGCGGUUCUACUCCAACAAUAUGACAUUGUCUAUAUUCCCCAAAAGGCGAUAAAAGGACAAGCGCUAGCAGACUUUUUAGCAGACCACCCAAUUCCUUCGGAUUGGAAGUUAUGUGAUGACCUACCAGACGAUGAGGUUUUCUUCACAGAAGUUAUGGAACCUUGGACUAUGUACUUCGAUGGUGCAGCUCGAAGAAGUGGUGCGGGGGCAGGCAUUGUCCUCAUUUCUCCUGAGAAGCAUAUGUUGCCUUAUAGCUUUGCACUUUCCGAAUUGUGUUCAAACAAUGUGGCUGAAUAUCAGGCUUUGAUAAUUGGCCUUCAAAUAGCAUUAGAAAUCGGAGUGUCAUUCAUAGAGGUCUAUGGUGAUUCAAAAUUGAUAAUCAAUCAACUCUCGCUUCAAUAUGACGUGAAACAUGAAGACUUGAAGCCAUAUUUUGCUUAUGCUCGAAAAUUGAUGGAAAAGUUUGAUAAUGUGAUGUUAGAACAUGUCCCUAGAGUAGAAAAUAAGAGAGCGGAUGCAUUGGCAAAUUUAGCCACGGCCUUGACCAUGCCAGAUGAUGUAACUCUGAACAUACCACUUUGUCAACGAUGGAUUAUACCCCCAGUUAGGCCUGAAUGUCAGGAAGUGAACAUGGCAACAUCCUAUUUGAUUGAUGAAGAAGAUUGGCGUCAACCCAUCAUAGAGUAUCUUGAACAUGGAAAGCUUCCAAAGGAUUCUCGUCAUAAAAUUGAGAUACGAAGAAGGGCAGCACACUUCAUUUAUUACAAGGGAACUUUAUAUCGCCGUUCUCUUGAAGGGCUCUUCCUUCGAUGUCUCGGAAAGGAAGAUUCGGUAAAAGCUCUAAAGGAAGUACAUGCAGGUGUUUGUGGAGCACAUCAAUCGGGACCAAAGCUUCAAUUCCAGCUAAGAAGAAUGGGCUACUACUGGCCUAAGAUGAUCCAAGAUUCAAUAGACUAUGUGAAGAAGUGUGAGCCUUGUCAAUACCAUGCAAACUUCAUACACCAACCUCCAGAACCUCUUCAUCCAACUGUAGCUUCUUGGCCUUUUGAGGCUUGGGGACUCGAUCUGGUUGGCCCCAUUACACCAAAAUCAUCAGCAGGACAUUCUUAUAUCCUAGCAGCAACAGACUAUUUUUCAAAAUGGGCUGAGGCCAUUUCAUUGAGAGAAGCCAAGAAGGAGAACGGCAGACUUUAUUCGAACACACAUCAUCUAUCGAUACGGUAUUCCACAUCGAAUCGUGACGGAUAAUGGAAAGCAAUUCUCCAAUAGUAUGAUGGACAAGUUAUGUGAAAAAUUCAAAUUCAAGCAAUAUAAGUCAUCCAUGUACAACGCAGCUGCGAAUGGACUAGCAGAAGCAUUCAACAAAACAUUGUGUAAUCUUUUAAAGAAAAUUGUCUCCAAGUCAAAGAGGGAUUGGCAAGAAAAGAUCGGCGAGGCAUUAUGGGCUUAUCGAACGACUCAUCGCACCCCUACAGGGGUUACACCAUAUUCGCUUGUUUACGGUGUGGAGGCUGUCCUUCCUCUCGAAAGGGAAAUUCCGUCACUAAGAAUGGCAGUACAAGAGGGAUUGACUACCGAAGAUAAUGUGAAGUUACGUCUUCAAGAAUUAGAAGCACUUGACGAAAAGCGAUUAGAGGCUCAGCAAGCAUUGGAAUGUUAUCAAGCGAGAAUGUCCAAAGCUUUUGAUAAACACGUUAAACCUCGCUCCUUUCAAGUCGGUGAUCUAGUGCUUGCCGUAAGGAGACCGAUCAUCACAACAAGGCAUACAGGAAAUAAGUUCACACCUAAAUGGGAUGGACCUUACAUUGUUAAAGAAGUUUAUACAAAUGGCGCAUACAAGAUCGUUGAUCAAGACGGACUACGAAUUGGCCCAAUCAAUGGUAAAUUUCUUAAAAAAUUUUAUGCUUAAUUUUGUUAGGUAAAAAAAAAAAAAAAUUGAACUACGUUAUGACUUGAUCCCUAUGUUAUAAAGGGUACGUAGGCAGCUUAAGGAAAACCUUAAGCCCAGUCCAGCAAAAAAAAAAGUUGAACUACGUUAUGACUUGAUCCCUAUAUUAUAAAGGGUACGUAGGCAGCUUAAGGAAAACCUUAAGCCCAGUCCAGCAAAAAAAAGUUGAACUACGUUAUGACUUGAUCCCUACAUUAUAAAGGGUACGUAGGCAACUUAAAGAAAACUUUAAGUUCAGUCCACCAUUAUAAAAAAAAAAAAAAAAAAAAAAAAAAACCUUGAAAUACGUCGUGAGUUAAUUCUUUUCUUCAAAGGGUGUUCAUCUCUACUAAGGAAUCAUAACAAAUUGGGGGCAAAUCCCUAAAUUCAAGAUGUUCAUCUUUAGUAACAAUGAGAUGAAAUAAAUUGAAGAUGUACAAACUCCGUGCAAAGACUAUGUACAAGUUGAGUGCAUGUAAAAAGAAAAAAAAAAGAAUCUCAAAAUCAAGCUCAAAGGCAUCAUUAAUGAUCCCUCAAAUUCAAGCAUAAAAGUUUCAUUGAUGAUUCCUUAUAUUCAAGUUUGAAGGCUUCAUCGAUGCUGCAGCUCCAGCUCUUUGAGAGGAUAACGAUGGUACAACUUUGAUAGGACGACGAUCGGGCAGCUCUGCCUUCGCCUCUCCAAGAUGAAAACGACAGUGUAACAUCGUUUCUGCCUCUUGAAGAAGAUGCAUGCAAUGCUAAAGCUUUAACCUCUGCUUCAUCUUCAGCUUAUUGCAACCGAAGAGGAUUCAUCUUCAUCUUCUUCUAAGUUUUGCAAUCGAAGAUGAUUCAUCUUCAUCUGCUCUAAGGUGUCGCAAGUGAGAGGAUUCAUCUUUGUCUUCCUCCAUGUGUUACAACCGAGAUGAUUCAUCUUCAUCUUCACCUAGGAGUCGCAAUCAAGAAGAUUCAUUUUCAUCUUCUCUCAGGUGUAACAACCGAAGAUGAUUCAUCUUCAUCUGCUCUAAGGUGUCGCAAGUGAGAGGAUUCAUCUUUGUCUUCUCCUAUGUGUUUCAACCGAGAGGAUUCAUCUUCAUCUCCUCCUAAGAAUUGCAACUGAGAAGAUUCACCUUCAUCUUCUUUCAGGUGUCGCAACCAAAGAAGAUUCAUCUUUAUCUUCUUCCAGGUGCUGCAACCAAAGAGGAUUCAUCUUCAUCUUCUUUCAUAUGUCGUAGUCGGAAGGAUUCACCUUCAUCUUCUUCUAGGUGCUACAAUCAAAGAGGAUUCAUCUUCAUCUUCUCUUAUAUGUCAUAGCUGAGAAGAUUCAUCUUCAUAUUCUUCCAAAUGCUGCAACUGAAGAGAAUUCAUCUUCAUCUCCUCCCAUAUGUCAUAGCCGAGAGGAUUCAUCUUCAUCUUCUUUUAGGAGUUGCAACCAAAGAGGAUUCAUCUUCAUCUUCUCCCAUAUGUCAUAGCCGAAAGGAUUUAUCUUCAUCUUCUCUCAGGUGCUGCAAUUGAAUAGGAUUCAUCUUCAUCUCCUCCCAUAUGUCAUAGUCGAGAGGAUUCAUCUCCUUCCAUAUGUCAUAGCCGAGAGGAUUCAUCUUCAUCUUCUCCUAUAUGUCGUAGCUGAGAGUAUUCAUCUUUAUCAUCUAACAGGUGUCGCAACCCGGCCGAUGGAAUUCAUUUUCAUCAGCUCUAAGUUGUCGCAAGCUAGAUGAUUCAUCUUCAUCUUCUCCCUGGUACCACAACCAAGAAAGAAAAAAAAAAAAAAGAGAAGCAAGAAGAAGAAAGAAGAAAAUGAUGAAGAAGAAAGAAGGAAGAAGAAAGAAAAAAAAAAAGCAAAAAGAAAGAAGAAAAAGAAGAAAAAAACAAAAACAAAAAAGAAAGAAGCAAAGGAAGAAAAAACAAAAAGAUAGAAGAAUAAGAAGAAGAAGAAAAAAAAAAAAACGAAGAAGCUCAAUUGGUGAUAACGAAGAUUGAAGCCCGACGAUGACAGAGUCGAUCUCUCCUACUAGGGCGAUAGAUCUGACGGCAAAAGCCCGAUCGUCCCUAGAAGAAGCUCAACAAAGUCACUUCUGCAAACGAAGAUUGAAGCCCGACGAUGACAGAGUCGAUCUCUCCUACUAGGGCGAUAGAUCUGACGGCAAAAGCCCGAUCGUCCCUAGAAGAAGCUCAACAAAGUCAUUUCUGCAAACGAAGAUCGAAGCCCGACGAUGACAGAGUCGAUCUCUCCUACUAGGGCGAUAGAUCUGACGGCAAAAGCCCGAUCGUCCCUAGAAGAAGCUCAACAAAGUCAUUUCUGCAAACAAAGAUUGAAGCCCGACGAUGACAGAGUCGAUCUCUCCAACUAGGGCGAUAGAUCUGACGGCAAAAGCCCGAUCGUCCCUAGAAGAAGCUCAACAAAGUCAUUUCUGCAAACGAAGAUCGAAGCCCGACGAUGACAGAGUCGAUCUCUCCUACUAGGGCGAUAGAUCUGACGGCAGAAGCCCGAUCGUCCCUAGAAGAAGCUCGACAAAGCUCGACAAAGUCAUUCCUGCAAAAAAAAAAAAAAAAAAAACACACACACACAAAAAAAAAGAAGAGAAAAAAAAAAGAGAAAGGGAGAAGAAAAGUUUUCUAUACCUUUCUGCCGAUUCGAUGAGGAAUAAGCGUUGGAUGAGGUAUAAGUGAGUAGGGUAUGAGUCUAUUUAUAAGCCCAACAAAUCCAAUUCCUAAAAGGAUUAGGAAUGAUAUUUAAUUAUUUUUUUUAAAAAAAAACAAAUCCAAUUCCUAAAAGGAAUAGGAAUGAUUUUAAAAAAAAUAUAUAUAUAUAAAGAAAAGAUAAUCCAAUUAUCUUAUUUUAUUUUAAAUUAUUUCUUUUUUUUUUGGAUAAAUCUCAAGUUUAACUUUUAUUGAGAUAUUUAAAAUAUUUAAAAAUUUCAACAUUUUUAAAAAUAUAUACAUAUAUAUAUAUAUAAAUAUUCUCAAUUUCAAAAUUCAAGUUAAAUUAACUUGCAUAUAUGACCUCCUUUUUAUCAUGAAUUUAAAUCGGAGCCAUAAAUCCAACUUUACCUAAGAUUGAGGAUCUGAUUUUUUUUAUCUCAAAUUAAAAUUGGUCAUUCCAAAUUCUUAUGCAUCCCCAAGAUAAAUUAAGGUACGGUAGAAACCUUAUCCUUAUUUCAAAAUUAAAAUUUUGGUUAUAUUCCAAAUUUUACUUAAAAAAAAAAAAAUCAUCAUAUUAAUUUUUUUUUUUCCCCUCAAAUAAAAUUAAGUGGGAAAUAAAACUUUGAAUUUUUUUUAAGGUUUGGCCAUAUUCCAACCCUUAUUUUAAAUUUAAAUCAAACUCACGUACUAAAUUCAUAGUUUGAUUAAUUUGAUAUGCUGAAUUGAGUAAAAAAAAAAAAAAAGGCUCGUACUUUGACUUCAAAUUUAUCUUUUCCGAGAUUCAUUCACCCAUAUACGUGCAUAAAUCUCGAAAAGGGGGCAUUUGUUGAAUAAGAAAUUUUGAGACCAAUCACAAGUUGCCACAUCAUUUAUUAAGUUAAUGAUGAAAAGUACAAAUAAUUAAAUUUGGGACUAAUUAAAAUUGACACAUGCCCCAAAUUAAAGAGUUAAAAUAAAUAAAUUGGUCAUUCUAAUAAUGCCACAUGUUUUCAUAUUAAUCGUUGGAUUAAGUUAAUCAUUUUAGUUCAAUUAAGCCAAAAAAAUAAGCUUAAUUGAGCCCAAAGACUAAAUAUAACCUAAGUCCAUAUGGUUGAGCCCAUGGGUCUGGUCCAUGGACCAACCAAGUUCAAACCCAUAAAGCCCACCAGUGAACUCUAUAAAUAGAGGAAUUCUCCUCAUUUGCAGGGGUUGGAAAAUUUUGACUCUAGAAGAUCCAGAGAGAAUUCUUCCAAAAGCUAGAAGACUCCCUAACUUCUGAAGUUGACCAUCCUCGAAGAUUGAAGCUGUUUUGAAGAUACAAACUUUCUUCCAAGACUCCAACUUGAAGAAAAUCACGUGCUCCGCUUCUCCAAAUCAAGCGUAGACGUUCAACAAACUUCAAGAACAUCACGUGCUCCGCUUCCUCAAAUCAAGCGUAAAGCAUUCAACCAACUUGAAGAAAAUCACGUGCUCCGCCUCUCCAAAUCAAGCGUAGACGUUCAACAAACUUCAAGAACAUCACGUGCUCCGCUUCUCCAAAUCAAGCGUAGACGUUCAACAAACUUCAAGAACAUCACGUGCUCCGCUUCCUCCAAAUCAAGCGUAGACAUACAGUUGAGAGAGAAUCAGAGGAUCAAAUUCUAGAGAUUGAACCGCAUCGCAUCAAAUCAACAAAAAUACAACAUCAACUCCAAGUUUAAGUCCACGAAUUAAAUUUCUCCGGAAAUCUCGUGCGAACA